rnacentral:rRNA from 1 species
GAUGAACGCUAGCGGCAGGCUUAACACAUGCAAGUCGAGGGGUAGGAUUCUUCGGAAUCUGAGACCGGCGCACGGGUGCGUAACGCGUAUGCAAUCUGCCUUUCACAGAGGGAUAGCCCAGAGAAAUUUGGAUUAAUACCUCAUAGCAUAAUCAAGCCGCAUGGUUUGGUUAUUAAAGUCACAACGGUGAAAGAUGAGCAUGCGUCCCAUUAGCUAGUUGGUAAGGUAACGGCUUACCAAGGCGACGAUGGGUAGGGGUCCUGAGAGGGAGAUCCCCCACACUGGUACUGAGACACAGACCAGACUCCUACGGGAGGCAGCAGUGAGGAAUAUUGGUCAAUGGGCGCAAGCCUGAACCAGCCAUGCCGCGUGCAGGAUGACGGUCCUAUGGAUUGUAAACUGCUUUUGUACGGGAAGAAACACUCCUUCGUGAAGGAGCUUGACGGUACCGUAAGAAUAAGGAUCGGCUAACUCCGUGCCAGCAGCCGCGGUAAAAC